GUGCCCCAAGGAAGUGGGAGUUUAUCGAUGUGGAUCAGGGACCAGGACAUGCUGGAGAUCAUCCAGCUGUCGAUCGUCAUCACUGUCCACAGUGCGGAAGGAGUUACAAGCGACGAACUCAUCUUCUUCGUCACUUCAAGAACGAGUGCGGUGAGGCGAAGGCCUUUCAAUGUCCUUAUUGCAAUCAGGACUUUAGGCAGAGGACGAGUAUAUGGACACACAUCAGACAUUGUCAUCAACAUUCAGCGCUUUACUGCAUCGACACGACGACGAAGGAGUUGUUGUAUUAUUCACUUCCUCGGAGGGGAUGAGGGGGUGUGAAUAUGACUUCUUCGAGUCCACAGUCAACGCGUCAUAAUUGCGAAAUUUGUGGAAAGAGUUAUAAGGAGCGACGUAGUUUGUAUCGUCACGUGAAGCUCGAGUGCGGGGUCCCCAGGUCCUUUCAAUGUCCCCAUUGCACGAAACCCUUCAAAAGACGGUCCAGCGUAUGGGAACACAUCCGACACAGACACAAUUGUUUCCCAGUUUAUUGUAUCGAAAUUAGUACUCAGAGGAAGUUGUAUCCGUCGGAGGAGAUUCAAAGUGGAAAUUUGACGAUGUGAGCCCUGUCAUCUCGAAACGUCACGAUUGCUCGAAAUGUCGAAAGAGUUACAGCUAUCGAAGUAAUUUGGUGCGUCACAUCAAGUUCGAGUGCGGAUUACCACGUGAAUUUCAAUGCCCCUAUUGCCAACAGACAUUCAGACAACGGACCAGCACCUGGAAACACAUCAGACACA